AAUGAACGCUGGCGGCAGGCCUAACACAUGCAAGUCGAACGAGGUAGCAAUACCUAGUGGCGGACGGGUGAGUAACACGUGGGAACGUACCCUUUGCUACGGAAUAGCCCUGGGAAACUGGGAGUAAUACCGUAUGAGCCCGAGAGGGGAAAGAUUUAUCGGCAAAGGAUCGGCCCGCGUUGGAUUAGGUAGUUGGUGGGUAAUGGCCUACCAAGCCGACGAUCCAUAGCUGGUUUGAGAGGAUGAUCAGCCACACUGGGACUGAGACACGGCCCAGACUCCUACGGGAGGCAGCAGUGGGGAAUCUUAGACAAUGGGGGAAACCCUGAUCUAGCCAUGCCGCGUGAUCGAUGAAGGCCUUAGGGUUGUAAAGAUCUUUCAGGUGGGAAGAUAAUGACUGUACCACCAGAAGAAGCCCCGGCUAACUCCGUGCCAGCAGCCGCGGUAAU
rnacentral:rRNA from 1 species